AGAGUUAGUCAUUAACAAGAUCGUGACACGUGUUAACUGAAUUAAUAAGAUGCUGACAUGUGUCAGAUAAUUAGUGGCAACCUUGGUUUUCAAAGUUAGCUAUUAACAAGAUCGUGACACGUAUUAACUGAAUUAAUAAGAUUUUGACAUGUGUUAGAAAUAGUGGUAAUAAAUUAUAUAAUUUAGUUUAAAUAUUUUCAAAAUUGAAAAAGAAAAUAAAAAUUCAGGAAAUUUAACAAUUACUUAGUAGUAAUCCUAAAAUAAAAAUGAUAGUAAUUAUAAAAUAAAAUUAUUAAUAAAAAAUUAUAAAAACUAGGUCUAAGGAAUUAAAAAAUAACAAAAAAAAAAUACAAUAAUUUAGUCAACUAUAAGUUAUUCUUAGAAAAUAUUCGCAUUAUCGUGAAUAUUAUGUAAUAACUAUUUGAAUAGCAGAUUAUUUAAUAAAUAACGUCAGAAUAAAAUGGCCAAUUUGUCAUCUACCAAAUAAAAAAAAGUGAAAAAUAUAGCAUAUUGAUUGAAAAAAUAAGAAAAAUAGGAUUAGGGGCAUGAAAAAUUACCUUUGGUGUUGUGAUGUUUUAGUGAUAAUGGUGGGUGGUGGCUACAUGUGGCUGAAAGUGGUGGCAAUGGUCGGAGACGGUGGUGUCACAAAUGGUGGUGGCG
rnacentral:lncRNA from 1 species